rnacentral:rRNA from 1 species
UUCGAUUGGAUUAGGCAUGCAAGUCGAGCGACGCACUCCGGAGGGGUAACCCACUGGAAUGACGGAGCGGCGAACGGGUGAGUAACACGUGAGCAACCUGCCCCACAGACCGGGAUAGCCCAGGGAAACCUGGAUUAAUACCGGAUACCCUCGUAGGACCGCAUGGUCCAUCGAGGAAAAGCCUUUGUGCUGUGGGAUGGGCUCGCGACUUAUCAGCUAGUUGGUGGGGUAACGGCCUACCAAGGCAUUGACGAGUAGCUGGUCUGAGAGGACGAUCAGCCACACUGGAACUGAGACACGGUCCAGACUCCUACGGGAGGCAGCAGCAGGGAAUCUUGCGCAAUGGGCGAAAGCCUGACGCAGCGACACCGCGUGGGGGAUGAAGGCCUUCGGGUUGUAAACCCCUUUCAGGAGGGAAGAAAUUGACGGUACCUCCACAAGAAGGACCGGCCAACUACGUGCCAGCAGCCGCGGUAAUACGUAGGGUCCGAGCGUUAUCCGGAAUCAUUGGGCGUAAAGAGCUCGUAGGCGGUUCAGCAAGUCGGCUGUGAAAGUUCGAGGCUCAACCUCGAAAUUGCAGUCGAUACUGCUGUGACUCGAGUCCGGUAGAGGAGAAUGGAAUUCCCGGUGUAGCGGUGAAAUGCGCAGAUAUCGGGAGGAACACCAGUAGCGAAGGCGGUUCUCUGGGCCGGCACUGACGCUGAGGAGCGAAAGCGUGGGGAGCAAACAGGAUUAGAUACCCUGGUAGUCCACGCCGUAAACGUUGGAUACUAGGUGUGGCGUCCCGAUUAACGGUCGCCGUGCCGAA